rnacentral:rRNA from 1 species
UACGAAGGUCCCAAGCGUUAUCCGGAUUUAUUGGGUUUAAAGGGUGCGUAGGCGGGCUAUUAAGUCAGUGGUGAAAGCCCCAAGCUUAACUUGGGAACUGCCAUUGAUACUGAUGGUCUUGAGUACAUUUGAGAUGGGCGGAAUGUGUCAUGUAGCGGUGAAAUGCUUAGAUAUGACACAGAACACCGAUUGCGAAGGCAGCUCACUAAACUGUAACUGACGCUGAGGCACGAAAGCGUGGGGAGCAAACAGG